CCUACGGGGGGCAGCAGUGGGGAAUAUUGCGCAAUGGGCGAAAGCCUGACGCAGCGACGCCGCGUGAGGGAUGAAGGUCUUCGGAUCGUAAACCUCUGUCAGCAGGGAAGAACAGUCACUGUCCUAAUCAGCAGUGAAUUGACGGUACCUGCAAAGGAAGCACCGGCUAACGCCGUGCCAGCAGCCGCGGUAAUACGGAGGGUGCGAGCGUUAAUCGGAAUUACUGGGCGUAAAGCGCGCGUAGGCGGUAUGUCAAGUCAAGGGUGAAAUCCCCGGGCUCAACGUGGGAACUGCCUUUGAAACUGGCAAACUGGAGUGUGUGAGAGGAUAGUGGAAUUCCAGGUGUAGGGGUGAAAUGCGUAGAUAUCUGGAGGAACAUCAGUGGCGAAGGCGACUAUCUGGCACAUAACUGACGCUGAGGAGCGAAAGCGUGGGUAGCAAACAGGAUUAGAUACCCGGGUAGUC
rnacentral:rRNA from 1 species